GCUUACGGCCAUACCACCCUGAACGCGUCUGAUCUCGUCUGAUCUCGGAAACUAAGCAGGGUCAGGCCUGGUCAGUACUUGGAUGAGAGACCGCAUGGGAGUACCAGGUGCUGUAAGUU
rnacentral:rRNA from 1 species